rnacentral:rRNA from 1 species
UACGAAGGGUGCAAACGUUGCUCGGAAUCAUUGGGCGUAAAGCGCACGUAGGCGGCUUCGAAAGUCGGAUGUGAAAUCCCUCGGCUCAACCGAGGACGUGCAUCCGAAACUUCGAGGCUUGAGUACAGAAGAGGAUCGCGGAAUUCCCGGUGUAGAGGUGAAAUUCGUAGAUAUCGGGAGGAACACCAGUGGCGAAGGCGCGAUCUGGGCUGAUACUGACGCUGAGGUGCGAAAGCGUGGGGAGCAAACAGG